rnacentral:rRNA from 1 species
AUGGGCAUGGAAGGCCCAGUCUACUCAGCCAGCAAGCAGGAGGUCCCGAACGUUAAGCUGGGGCUUUCCUUCAAUGAGCUGAUCGACAAGCUGAAGGUGCAUGAAGAGGGGAGGGCUGAGCGCUUCGCGACCGAGUCCCGAAAGCUUGCCCGCAACGCCCUCUUCAUGGUCCUGAGCAACAUCGCCUGCCGCCACCCAGAGCUCGACCUUGAUGAUGGCUUCAAUAAGCCGCCAGCAGGCGCCGACAUUGCAGCUGCCGAGAAGGAGGUCGCUCCCCGCGCCGACAGGGUUCUUCGCGUUUAA